GCAGCCACGCCUCUCACUGAAGGCCGCGCCUCCCGGGGGCAGUCCCUCUUUGGGGACUUCUUUAGGCUACCUUUUUAGCUUUACAGGUGUCAGGCGUCAAUCCUAAUCCUUCCUUGGUUUCCAUUCCCGAAACUCUGCCCCUCCAUCUAGGCUCCCCUUCUCUUCGUGAAGCCAUCAUGUCCCUCGCUGCCUGACCUCAUUGCCCGUUUCCCUGGUGACAGGCCUGUGAUGUGAGUCGUGGAGGCCUGCGAGCCUUCAGCUCCCAAGAGGAUAAUACAGCCUCCCUGUGGAAACAACAGCUCUGGCCAGCAGGCUCUGCAUGGUCUGAAAAGCCCACUUCCACCCGAGUAUCAGCCAGGUACCAGAUGGAUAUUAUCCCCAUUUGACAGAAGAAACUGAGGCUCAGAGAUGAAGACACAACCACUGAGUGUUAGGAGACAGUUAUCCUCUCACAUUAUGUUUUCUUGGAAGCAGACUUGCAGGCACCUUUGUCGUGGUGAAUAGCAUUGAAUGGCAUAAAGUCACCCUCUGCAGUCAAGGGUAGGCAUGCUGUCCAUUUUAAAAGAUUCAGGUUCCCUAAUCUCAGGGUUUUUUUCCCCUUACACACCCUACAAUGUAAGCCCAGGUAUCACCUGGCCCUCUUUGCAAUGCCUUGUGGGAACUGUGGCUUAAGGAACAGUUGCAAAAACACCACCACUCUGGCUACCCUGGUUGCUGUGAUAAAGAGUC